rnacentral:rRNA from 1 species
GUGCCAGCAGCCGCGGUAAUACGUAGGAGGCAAGCGUUGUCCGGAAUCACUGGGCGUAAAGCGCGUGUAGGCGGAGGUCUAAGUCUGUCGUGAAAGCGCCUGGCUCAACCGGGCGAGGUCGAUGGAAACUAGGCGUCUAGAGGCCGGUAGAGGGGGGUGGAAUUCCGGGUGUAGUGGUGAAAUGCGUAGAGAUCCGGAGGAACACCCGUGGCGAAGGCGGCCCCCUGGGCCGCGCCUGACGCUGAGACGCGAAAGCGCGGGGAGCGAACGGGAUUAGAUACCCGUGUAGUCC